CAAACAAGUGGCCAAGUGAGCUUUAAUGAGCAUUUAGCUUAGGGAGCAAGAUUAGUGAUGAAAAACAAAACAACUAUCUCUCUCUUCCCUAUCCUCAUUUUCGCCCCCACUCUUAUCUCUCUCCCUCUCACUCUUUUCUCUCACUACCACCAUUGAAGGUCAUUUCCAAGCUUCACAAAUCACUUCUAUACUUAGAUCUCCAUCAAAAAUCGAGCCUAAACUAUUACUACUUUGAAUUAAGAACAAGAUUGAAGGGAUUUCAAGUUUUGAGCCAAGAAAGUCUCUACUUUUCUUUGAAGUCAUUGAGUAAGUGAGCCCAUGGAUACUCUCCGAUGUUAUAAUAUCAGAAGAUACGAGCAGAGGACAGAAGUGAGUUUGCCUCGAGUGCUACGAGAGUAAGCUAACAUCUUCAGCUUUAAAGGAAAUCCAAUUACGACCCUAUGAUAGACGAAGGUAUGCUAGUACGGGUUAACGUGUACACUCAUGGAGACCGCGAGUCGCUUGCAACUGGCCUUGGCAUCCGUGGGAGGAGGCCUCCUUCCCGGCGCGUGACAGAAAGGACAGAUAUGGAACAUAUGAAAGGAAAACGUGAUUGGCCAGUCGACUUUAUGAAAAUGAAAGAAAUGUUUUAGUAAGCACAGGUCUUUCAAGAAAACCCUUGUGUGUUAUUGUUUGGCAGUACAAUGUAUAUAUGUAUAUGUUAUUGAUUUAUGCCUAAUUGUUCUAAUUUUAGGGGU